CCCUUAGAUGUUCUGGACCGCACGCGCGCUACACUGACGAAUGCAACGAGCUUAUAACCUUGGCCGAAAGGUCUGGGUAAUCUCCAAAUUUCGUCGUGAUGGGGAUAGAUUAUUGCAAUUAUUAAUCUUCAACGAGGAAUGCCUAGUAAGCGCAAGUCAUCAGCUUGCGUUGAUUACGUCCCUGCCCUUUGUACACACCGCCCGUCGCUCCUACCGAUUGAAUGGUCCGGUGAAGCGUUCGGACCGUGGCUUUCUGACGGUUCGCCGUCGGAUGGCCGUGGGAAGUUCGUUAAACCUUAUCAUUUAGAGGAAGGAGAAGUCGUAACA
rnacentral:rRNA from 1 species